rnacentral:rRNA from 1 species
GUGCAGCAGUCGCGAAAACUCCGCAAUGCCCGAAAGGGUGACGGGGGGAUUCCAAGUGCCUACGCUUAGCGUAGGCUGUUCAGGUGCCUAAAAAAGCACCUGGAGGAAGGGCUGGGUAAGACGGGUGCCAGCCGCCGCGGUAAUACCCGCAGCCCGAGUGGUAGUCGCUUUUAUUGGGCCUAAAGCGUCCGUAGCCGGUCUGGUAAAUGCCUGGGUAAAUCGUGGGGCUUAACCUCACGAAUUCCGGGUAGACUGCCAGACUUGGGACCGGUUGAGGGAGAGGGGUACUCCAGGGGUAGGGGUGAAAUCAGCAAGGUAAGCUGAUGUAACUUGCCUUGCAAGUCACAAUCCUGUAAUCCUUGGAGGACCACCGGUGGCGAAAGCGCUCUCCUAGGACGGGUCCGACGGUGAGGGACGAAAGCCAGGGGAGCAAACCGGAUUAGAUACCCGCGUAGU